rnacentral:rRNA from 1 species
ACGGGUGAGUAACGCGUGGGAAUCUACCCAUCUCUACGGAAUAACACAUGGAAACGUGUGCUAAUACCGUAUACGUCCUUCGGGAGAAAGAUUUAUCGGAGAUGGAUGAGCCCGCGUUGGAUUAGCUAGUUGGUGGGGUAAAGGCCUACCAAGGCGACGAUCCAUAGCUGGCCUGAGAGGAUGAUCAGCCACACUGGGACUGAGACACGGCCCAGACUCCUACGGGAGGCAGCAGUGGGGAAUAUUGGACAAUGGGCGCAAGCCUGAUCCAGCCAUGCCGCGUGAGUGAUGAAGGCCCUAGGGUUGUAAAGCUCUUUCACCGGUGAAGAUAAUGACGGUAACCGGAGAAGAAGCCCCGGCUAACUUCGUGCCAGCAGCCGCGGUAAUACGAAGGGGGCUAGCGUUGUUCGGAUUUACUGGGCGUAAAGCGCACGUAGGCGGACUAUUAAGUCAGGGGUGAAAUCCCGGGGCUCAACCCCGGAACUGCCUUUGAUACUGGUAGUCUUGAGUUCGAGAGAGGUGAGUGGAAUUCCGAGUGUAGAGGUGAAAUUCGUAGA